rnacentral:rRNA from 1 species
ACUCCUACGGGAGGCAGCAGUGGGAAGUAUUGCAUCAAUGGCAGGCAAGCGCAUGCAGCCAUGCCGCGUGUGUGAAGAAGGCCUUCGGGUUGUAAAAGCACUUUCAGUCGUGAGGAAGGUAGUGUAGUUAAUAGCUGCAUUAUUUGACGUUAGCGACAGAAGAAGCACCGGCUAACUCCGUGCCAGCAGCCGCGGUAAUACGGAGGGUGCGAGCGUUAAUCGGAAUUACUGGGCGUAAAGCGCAUGCAGGUGGUUUGUUAAGUCAGAUGUGAAAG